rnacentral:rRNA from 1 species
GGUUGAUCCUGCCAGUAUCAUAUGCUUGUCUCAAAGAUUAAGCCAUGCAUGUCUAAGUAUAAGCAACCUUAUACUGUGAAACUGCAGAUGGCUCAUUAAAUCAGUCAUAAUUUAUUUGAUGAUUACUUACUACUUGGAUAACCGUAGUAAUUCUAGAGCUAAUACAUGCGUAAAGUCCUGACUUUCGGGGAGGGAUGUAUUUAUUAGAUACAAAACCAAUGCGGGUGGGCAACCAUCCGGUUUGAGGUGAAUCAUAAUAACUGUUCGAAUCGCAUGGCUUCACGCCGGCGAU